rnacentral:misc_RNA from 1 species
GAGAAAUUCGCCCUCACGGGUGACUCUCCAACCCUAUGUUAUUGUACCUUCGUUGCUUUGGCGAGCCGCCUCGUGCCACCGACUUUCGCCGGUGAGUGCUCGCCAGAGGACCUAAAACUCUUGAAUUUAAUAUUGUCUGAGUACUAUAUAAUAGUUAAAACUUUCAACAACGGAUCUCUUGGUUCU